UCCUGAAAUCUUGUUAAAGUGAAGAAGAC
rnacentral:piRNA from 1 species